UUCAUUCUCUCUAUCUACAGUUCUACUCUUUUCUAAAUCGAGAUCUCUAAAUCAACCAGGUUUUUAAGAAAUCAAAAGUUAUUUAUCCUGAACCCCAUCUCAUAAACCAAAACGCAUCUUUUAGAAAUCAAACUCAAUUUUUCAAUAACCCAAAUUUCAUAUCAAACCCUACAAAUUUGAUAAUAGGAUUUUCUCCUGCAUAAUCUCUAGCAAAACCACCUUUUGCGAUUUUCAGACUUCUUUCUCGUUUCGAUCUAUGUAUUCAAUUUCUUCUAAUUGUUGCACUUCUAAGAAAAACCAGGGAUGAAUUUAUCUGGUGGAUUUCAUUAAAAUCUUAGCUUGGGUUUCUUUUUUUACUGGAUCUAUUGAUGGGAAAAGAAGUAUAAUCUUGUUAACUUCUUCAUCGGACAAUGAAGACGGUCAUUUAAGCUCAUGGGUCUGCACCAAUCCUGCUACUCGGUCAAUAUCGAAACAACAAAUUUCGAUUAAUCCAACUUCCACAUCUGAAGUCCAGAUAUUCUAUUGACAUCUUCAUGGUUCUUAAAAUCUGACGGCCACUGUAAGCCUUACUGGUUUGUUCUUCGCUUUCAGUUACCGAAAUUAGUUACAAGUGAUUGCACCUUACAGAUUAUAUGCAAAACAUGCCCAGUAAAGCUUUCUGCAGGGAUUAUUGAUAUCUUCGUGGUUCUUAAAAUCUGACCGCCGCUGUAAGCCUUACUGGUUUGUUCUUCGCUUUCAGUUACCGAAAUUAGUUACAAGUGAUUGCACCUUACAGAUUAUAUGCAAAACAUGCCCAGUAGUGCUUUCUGCAAUGAUUUUUCUUUUCUAUCCGCUUGAAUUAAAGUGUGAUAUUAAUACAUUUGGGCCAUGAAAUUUGGAUACUGUUUAAUGGAAAUUUUAGAUAUGAAACUAAGGGAAGGCUUCUGUUCUUAACAUACCCACCAUUAAAAAACAAUAACAGUCUAAUUAACUUUAUCACUUUUGUGCAUAUUAGCUUUUACAUUCCAUGUAAUUUGGAAAUUUAGGUAUGAAACUAAGGGCAGGCUUCCGUUCUUAACAUUCCCAUCGUUAAAAACAAUAACAGUCUAAUUAACUUUAUCACUUUUGUGUUAUCACUAAUAUUAGCUUUUACAUUAUCAACCAACAAUGAUACUAAAUUUACAGUCAUACUUCAUACUAAAAUUACAGUCAUAUUUCAAACUUAGGAAGAGGUGGUAGGUAUGAAGAAACAUUGACGAGAUGUUAGAUUGCAUCUAGAUAUCCUUUUGGAAAGCAAAACUUACUUCCGAUUAUUCAUCUUAAUUAAAUUUGAUAUAAAACUUGGUUUAAAAAUCUAAGUUCUUUUCGUGGCACCUAACUAAUGCUUGAGAACUGAUUUGGAGCUUUUAACUUAGGAAAACUUUGAUAUGUGUCAUAUUCCGUACCAGGUAUACUGAUUUGGAGCUUUUAACUUAGUUGUUCUGUAUUUCUGUGUUGUGGAGUGUAAAAUUGAUAUUAUGUGUCCAUGUAUUUAACUUAGUGAGAGAAGUGUUGAAAGAGGAUGCUUCGCAAGGAGAACUGUCUUGGCUUUCCAUUACAUUCUUGCAGUGUGACCAAAAUAAAUUGUCUAGAAUAGUUUUAUGGGUUUAAGGUUCUUCGUGAUUCUGGUUUUAUAUUGAUAAUUUGAUAUGAUGUAUGUGUUGGUGGGAACUAGAUUCAAUGCCUUAAUUCAACGUUGCAGAAGAGUACAGACAGAAAACAUGGAAGACUAAAUUCAACGUUAAAAAAUAAAAGCAGAAGGCUGAUGAAGCAGGUAUAGGCGUAAUAUCUCUGAAUUCCAGAGAAGGAUAUUUGAGGUCCUACAAGUUUGCGAACCUUCCUUUCUUGGCUGAUUACAAGUUCAAGGUAUAUGAUAAUAUUGAGAAGGGUGAGAAAUAGCUAAAUAUCACCAUUGGUAUCCUUGUUUCUGUUGCAAUGGUUAUGUUGACCUCUAUAAGAUUCUUUUUGGCGGUAAGAAAGCAGUGGUAAGUUUUUAGUACUUAAAGAUAUUAUGAUUUUCCCGACUUUUUUCUCCUAAAUUAUUCAAGUUUUAGCCAUAUAAUGUUUGUUAAUUUACUUUGAUAAGGUGUACGCUACAUUAUCAUUGGAUGGUUUUUGACUUCUCUUUAGUCGAGCUGUUAAUGUAGGUUUGAUGUAGGUCCACUUGUGAUGUUUUUCUCUAUUUUGUUGGUAUUGGUACAUGGUGGUUUCUGAGCCUACUGGUGCUUAUUUUUUAAACAUCUGUUGUGAUGUUUCUGGUAGUAAUGGGUUCAUCAGUAGGUAUUUGUUUCCUCAUGCUUUUCUCAGUCAAUGCGCUAAUAGCAACUGGUUUAUCAGUAGGAAGAACAAAACUGUUUAGUUCUUUUGGUUAUUCAUCUUGGGGCCUCUCUGCAAUCUUACCUGCAAUACCUGUUAACGUUCUUAUAUUAGGAUUCCAUGUAUAACCCAUUAUGUAUCUUGUGCUCGAGAUAUGUCAAGGUCGUGAAUUAAAGAACUGGUUACGUUUGUGCCGUUGUGUCGAUGUUGGACAGAGGAAGGUAAAGAGAUUGACAUCAUAUUGGUUAGGAUACCCACCUUUAUAUAUCACUGUCCUCUCAUGUGCAUGGCAUGAUUAUUGUUUUUAUAAGCGUUUUCUUGAGUAUUGUGACCUCCCCACAUUAAUCAGCUGAUGGCUUUUGCUGUGCAAGUACACCAUUAUGAAGUAGGAAUAAGUUCUUCAUCAUCAUCGGAGUUUAUAAUUUUGAUGUUAAUCAAUAGUUAUUUAGUUCAUCAUCUUGUAAUCGAAUCCUAGAACUA